GAUAAACGCUGGCGGCGUGCCUAAAACAUGCAAGUCGAACGGACCCUUUCGGGGGUCAGUGGCGGACGGCUGAGUAACACGUGGGUGACCUGCCCUCGAGCGGGGGAUAACUGCCCGAAAGGGUGGCUAAUACCGCAGAUCUCCAGGUUUCGGUAUCUGGAGUGAACCUCCGGGGUUCGGGGAGGGGCCCGCGGUCGAUUAGCUGGUUGGUGGGGUAACGGCCUACCAAGGCUUCGAUCGAUAGCUGGUCUGAGAGGAUGAUCAGCCAGACUGGGACUGCGAACGGCCCAGACUCCUACGGGAGGCAGCAGUUAGGAAUUUUGGGCAAUGGGCGAAAGCCUGACCCAGCAACGCCGCGUGGGUGAUGAAGGCUCUCGGGUCGUAAAGCCCUUUUCCCAGGGACGAUGGUGACGGUACCUGGGGAAUCAGCCCCGGCUAACUACGUGCCAGCCGCCGC
rnacentral:rRNA from 1 species